rnacentral:rRNA from 1 species
AAAUUUAUAAUCUGGCACCUUCGGUGUCCGAGUUGUAAUCUCUAGAAGUGUUUUCCGCGUUGGACCGCACACAAGUCUGUUGGAAUACAGCGGCACAGUGGUGAUACCCCCGUACACGGUGCGGACGCCCAGCGCUUUGUGAUACACUUUCAAUGAGUCGAGUUGUUUGGGAAUGCAGCUCAAAUUGGGUGGUAAAUUCCAUCUAAAGCUAAAUAUUGGCGAGAGACCGAUAGCGAACAAGUACCGUGAGGGAAAGAUGAAAAGCACUUUGGAAAGAGAGUUAACAGUACGUGAAAUUGUUGGAAGGGAAACGCUUGAAGUCAGACUUGCUUGCCGGAGCUUGCUUCGGUUUGCAGGCCAGCAUCAGUUUUCCGGGGUGGAUAAUGGUGGUUUGAAGGUAGCAGCCUCGGCUGUGUUAUAGCUUUCCACUGGAUACAUCCUGGGGGACUGAGGAACGCAGCGUGCUUUUUGCGAAGGUUUCGACCUUUUCACGCUUAGGAUGCUGGUGUAAUGACUUUAAACGACCCGUCUU